AACGAACGCUGGCGACAGGCUUAACACAUGCAAGUCGAGCGGAGAUGAGGUGCUUGCACCUUAUCUUAGCGGCGGACGGGUGAGUAAUGCUUAGGAAUCUGCCUAUUAGUGGGGGACAACAUUCCGAAAGGAAUGCUAAUACCGCAUACGCCCUACGGGGGAAAGCAGGGGAUCUUCGGACCUUGCGCUAAUAGAUGAGCCUAAGUCGGAUUAGCUAGUUGGUGGGGUAAAGGCCUACCAAGGCGACGAUCUGUAGCGGGUCUGAGAGGAUGAUCCGCCACACUGGGACUGAGACACGGCCCAGACUCCUACGGGAGGCAGCAGUGGGGAAUAUUGGACAAUGGGCGGAAGCCUGAUCCAGCCAUGCCGCGUGUGUGAAGAAGGCCUUUUGGUUGUAAAGCACUUUAAGCGAGGAGGAGGCUACCUGGAUUAAUACUCUAGGAUAGUGGACGUUACUCGCAGAAUAAGCACCGGCUAACUCUGUGCCAGCCGCCGCCGUAAUAC
rnacentral:rRNA from 1 species